CAGCCGCCGCGGGAAAACGAAGGGGGCUAGCGUUGCUCGGAAUGACUGGGCGUAAAGGGCGCGUAGGCGGAUGGCACAGUCAGAUGUGAAAUUCCCGGGCUUAACCUGGGGGCUGCAUUUGAUACGUGUUGUCUAGAGUGAGGAAGAGGGUCGUGGAAUUCCCAGUGUAGAGGUGAAAUUCGUAGAUAUUGGGAAGAACACCGGUGGCGAAGGCGGCGACCUGGUCCUUUACUGACGCUGAGGCGCGAAAGCGUGAGGAGCAAACAGGAUUAGAUACCCCGGUAGUCCCUGUCUCUUAUAC
rnacentral:rRNA from 1 species